UACGAAGGGGGCUAGCGUUGCUCGGAAUCACUGGGCGUAAAGGGUGCGUAGGCGGGUCUUUAAGUCAGGUGUGAAAUCCUGGAGCUCAACUCCAGAACUGCCUUUGAUACUGAGGAUCUUGAGUUCGGGAGAGGUGAGUGGAACUGCGAGUGUAGAGGUGAAAUUCGUAGAUAUUCGCAAGAACACCAGUGGCGAAGGCGGCGCACUGGCGCGAUACUGACGCUGAGGCACGAAAGCGUGGGGAGCAAACAGG
rnacentral:rRNA from 1 species